CCAAAACAACAAAAACAAAGCAGCUGCUUUUACUGACAAGUUCUUUUAUUUGACAGGUGGUGGCAAAAUUCCCACACCACAAUCAGAUGCAAAGGGAAGCCCUGGCCAUCCCCCAGAGCAGCGCGGAAUCCCAACGUGCUCACCUCCCUGUAGUCUGACAGUAUAAACAAGGUCCUGAUUAACUUUGCCAGAGAUAUUUCUAAUUCAAACUGAAUGCUGUUGGACAGCUCAUCCUGUCAGGGAGGGAGCGUAACCACCACUGACCUUUUCAAACAAAGCUAAUUGCUCCGGUUUUAAGGUUACAGAGCUGAAAUUUUGCCAUAUAUUGAUCCAGGGGUGCAAAGUUUCUUCCUAAUUUCUAAUUUCCCCUAGAGGAGAAAGUAGGAAUUUGCCUUGAUGGAGCCCAUCUUCUCUGGGAGGAACACAGCUAUUUAGAAACUUUCUGUUACCAAACCCACUUGGCCAGCAACUUCCUUGCAGGUCCAGUGGUUAAGACUUUGCCCUCCAGCGCAGGGGGUGCGGGUUCGAUCCUUGGUUGGGGACUAAGAUCCCACACUCCUCACAGCCAAAACACCAAAAUAUAAAACAGAAUCGAUGUUGUAACCAAUCUGGAUACUUGGCCAAUGAUGCAGCCUCCUUUCUCAGCUGAAGAGUCUAACUACUCAGGUUUUCAUUGAGUCAAUAAAUGCGUGUUACUGUAUGGCCUGGUGGGCCAGGCCGUGUGCUGGGCUCAGCAGAUGGUGAGCCAGUCCCUGCAAGCAGAGGGGAGAGACGGCUAUGAAUCGACAGUUACGCAAACAGAGGAAGCUGCCUGUGCUGUUAUUGGGAAGAACCAUGGCUGCAGCUGGUGGCAAAGCUGUCUGUUUAUAGUCAACUUAAUGUCAAGAGCUGGUACAGAAGUUCACAACAGCAGAGAACUCUAUCGUUUGAAAAUUUUGAGGAGGAAGUUACUGCGAUCAAGUGGGAAGCCUCAGAUCAGUCUCUUAAAGCACAGUUAAAAUGUGCAUCAAAUACACUUUCCUCUGGCUCUGUUAAGAAAGACUGAGCAGUGGCCUCUGCCACACGUGUGCACCAUCUUCGGAUGGGCUUCAUGGAUUGGGACCUGUUUGCCUCACACUGAGGUCCUGAACACACAAGGUGGGGAGACCUGCUUGAAGGAGGUGGAGAAAGAAAAGAAGAAUGAACUGUCCUGUUUGUUCAUCUGAUACCCAGAAGAAUCAAACAGAAAGACAAUGGUCACCACAGAAUUCUUGAGCUCACUUUCUUUUUGUUCCCGGGGAUGUCACCUUUAUUUCAUGAUUCUAGUGCCCACAAGACCCAGUAUUGCAUCACGCCCCACCACCACCAUCACGAGACUUAAUUUGGAAAAUAAAGCAAGCUCCUUUUUGAUGAUUCUC